UAAGGAAUAUUGGUCAAUGGACGCAAGUCUGAACCAGCCAUGCCGCGUGGAGGAUGAAGGUCCUCUGGAUUGUAAACUUCUUUUAUCUGGGACGAAACACUUCUUUUCUAAGAGGCCUGACGGUACCAGAUGAAUAAGCACCGGCUAACUCCGUGCCAGCAGCCGCGGUAAUACGGAGGGUGCAAGCGUUAUCCGGAUUCACUGGGUUUAAAGGGUGCGUAGGUGGGUAUGUAAGUCAGUGGUGAAAUCCCCGAGCUUAACUCGGGAACUGCCAUUGAUACUAUAUAUCUUGAAUACCGUAGAGGUAAGCGGAAUAUGUCAUGUAGCGGUGAAAUGCUUAGAUAUGAAAUGGAACACCAAUUGCGAAGGCAGCUUACUAUGCGGUGAUUGACACUGAGGCACGAAAGCGUGGGUAGCAAACA
rnacentral:rRNA from 1 species